GUUAAAUCCUUCUAAACGAUCUCACUUGAUCCCUUCAAAUCAUUAGCAGUGUCACUUUGGGGUCCUAACGGUGAAGGGCUGUGUAAUUUAGCAAGCCAUCUCCAGUGUCCUAUCGCAGCCCGGGCAGGGAUACUUAACGUUCUAUUUGCAUUCUAAAGAGAGAGAGAGCGCGAUCUUGCAUUAUGCCUGCACUAGGAGAUCUACUCUAUGCAUCAGGCAGUCUGGGGACCUCUGAAAGCAAGCACUAUUCCAACUGACAGCCCAAGCAAAAAGAAACUCACCCUCCCCAAAAUUUUGAAACGAUAAUAAACAAAAUCCAGAUACAAACUGAGCCACCGGCUUAGUGUAGAUCUGCUGGAUCCCUUGUCUGGGGCAGGAUCGGGCACAUAUCCGGUGUGACAUGCUGUUUUCCCUGACAGCUAGCGGUGUAACUGCAGCAGACAGAACUCCCUGUCCUCCCGCCGCCAGCACUGAGCCCCACGCCUAGGACAGUGCAGGACAGCGAGUGGAUCCCACCUCCUGCUUUACAUAACAUCUGACCAUGGGAAGCGCGUGUUGUGGACCCACCGGCGAAGAUCUAACACGGAGAACUUAUUGAUCCCCCCACCUCCCAAGGGAUCCCCCCCAUCAAGAAUCGAUCCAUCAUUUCGGGACCACGUUGUGCUGUCAGUUUUUUGCAGACAAAACCACUGAGACGUUUUUUUUCCUUUCCCUCCUGG
rnacentral:lncRNA from 1 species